rnacentral:rRNA from 1 species
AUUGAACGCUAGCGGCAUGCUUAACACAUGCAAGUCGAACGGCAGCGCGGGUAGCUUGCUACCUGGCGGCGAGUGGCGGACGGGUGAGUAAUGCGUAGGAAUCUACCUUAUAGUGGGGAUAACUCGAGGAAACUCGAGCUAAUACCGCAUAAUCUCUAAGGAGCAAAGCGGGGGACCUUCGGGCCUCGUGCUGUAAGAUGAGCCUACGUCGGAUUAGCUAGUUGGUGGGGUAAUAGCCUACCAAGGCGACGAUCCGUAGCUGGUCUGAGAGGACGAUCAGCCACACUGGGACUGAGACACGGCCCAGACACCUACGGGAGGCAGCAGUGGGGAAUAUUGGACAGUGGGGGAAACCCUGAUCCAGCAAUGCCGCGUGUGAAGAAGGCCUUCGGGUUGUAAAGCACUUUCAGUGGGAAGAAAGAACCAAAAUUAAUACUUUUGGGUGUUGACGUUACCUACAGAAGAAGCACUGGCUAACUCUGUGCCAGCAGCCGCAGUAA